GAGAUAAAUAAAGUAAAGAAAGCACACUAACAAUCAACAAAUAUUUUAAUAAGCCCCAUCAUUUUAAAUUAGUGUCCUCCCACGGGGUGCCCUUAGGUGACAUAGAAUUCUGGUAUAAAGAAGUAUUUGCAGCGUGUUUCUUUUUAAUCAAGGGGAAAGGGGAAAAAACAAAUAAACUCCUGACUGGGGAAUGGGGAUUUCAAAAAAUCCAUCAGGGGAGGAGGAGUGUUGGACAAACUUGGCAAGACUCAAGAGACAUUCCUGGUACAGAGUGUUCAGACAGAUAAGGGACAGACGUGGAAGUUGUAAACAGAGAUGAAGCGAGAAACUGGAGGGCUGCUUAUGGCUGAGUCAAAGAAGUUGAGGAACAGAGUGGGGGGAUGAAAGGUGGAGAUUAAACUGAAGAAGGAUAUGGUAAACUAUUCCAGUAUCUUUGCCAAGAAAAUCCAAAUGGGGUCACAAAAAAUCAGACAGGACUGAAAAAAUGACUUAACAACAACAUUCCAAUGCCUGGAACAAUAUUUGGUACAUAGCAGGUACUUAAGAAAGAUGAUGGAUGCAAGCAUCAGGAAAAGACAGAUAUUUUUGGAAUGGGCACAUGUGGAGAAGAAGAGAAAAACAGAGAGAAGAGGAAAAAGACAGAGAAAGGAGGAGGAGAGGAAGAAGAAAAGGAAGAGAAGAAGGAGGGGAGAGAGAAAAUGAAAGAGAAAGAGAGAGAGAGAAAUAGCUUUUUAAAUUCACAGAAGGGAACAGAAAGAAAUUUAGACGACAAUUUUGAAAGUAAUGGGGAGUUAUUAUGGUCUUUAAAAAAAAAAGCCUAGAAAGAUGCUGUAUGUAUGGAUGACAGAUUUCAAUCUGAGGAACUUGAAGUACACUUGAGAAUUUGAGAUUAAGGGGAUUACCCACAGUCACAAAGUGACAAAGUAUCAAAUCUCAAUUCAGCUUCAGAUUUUCCCCAACUCUAAAUCUAUUGUUCUUUCCAAUAAACCACAAUACUUUCCAAACAUAAAAUUAUGUUCCUUAACCUCCUAAAGGGCAAGUUGAGUCUAUUUAGGGAACUAAGACAAUUCCAAGCCACUAUUAACUUUCAGUGGAUUUGAGUAAGUAAUACAGAACUUUCACAGACACAUCCUGCUCCUUGCACAAUAAGACUAUGUUCUUAUCUUGAAUCCAUAUGGAUAAUUCAAAUCCUUGUGAGUGAUGGAAUCACUUGUGGUGCAAGAGGUACAAAUUACCUUUUAGGGAGUAACCUGGCGAAAGUCCCCUCCUCAAAACUCUGGAAAACCAUUGCUACCAAUGUCCUGAAACCCUGAUGCCAAUUGCCAUUCAUAGCACACCAGCUUGUAAAAGGAAAUUUUAUUAAAAACAUUUUCAUUCUUGCCCCACAUCCCACUUGCUCCUUCUUUGAUCACAUAAACACAAACACACAUACACACUUUCAUCAUUCUAAGGAAAGCAUACUUUGUCUGAUCUUGCUGUUCCCUUUAACAGACCAACUUUUCCAACCAGUGGUCUGCUCCCCCCAGGUCCAUUACUGCACAAUCUGUUUUCUUCUUACUUAUCUGAAACCUUUCUUCUAUCCUCACUGCUCUUCUAUAACUGUUCUAAGACACAAAAACGCAUAUAAUGACCAAGUCCCAGCUCCCUCAAAUUAUAGAUCUCAGUAGCUUUUAACUGAAGCACCAAUACAUUUUCAAUGAUGUUAUAGAAUUGUGAAUUGUGGAAUUAAUACUGCUUCCAAAGAGCUAAAGUUGAGGAUCAAUCAAAAGAUAGUUGUGUUGUAAGUAUCCCAGGGGAGCUGGGUGCAAUACAUGACACUAUUCUCAAUUUGGAACUCUUCUCCUUUGUUUUCUGUGAUACUUCUAUUUCCUUGUUCUUUUAUCUUUCUGAUUGCUUCUUCUCUAACUUUUUUUAUGCUUUAAUUUCCUCCUAUGCCUAAAAUUAGGAUAUAUCCCAAGGUUUAGACCUCAUCUUUUUGUUUUUCCUGUACUCCGACACUUGGAAGGCUCAUCUACUAUACUUCUCAUCUGAACUCUAGGCCUAUAGUUCCAAUUCCACCAUCAAAAAUUAACUUACUCUCUUCCCCAAACCAUCUCUUCAGUCCCUAAAACUGUUGUAACUUUCUCAUUCACCCAAGCCUAGAGUAUCAACCAUUUUUCAGUUCUCCCAUUCCCUUAUCUUCUUAUAUUCAAUUAAAAAUGACAUCUCUAGAAUCUUAUUUCAAAAUGUCCUUUACACAAUGUUAUAGAACCAAAGAUUAGAGCCAGAAGAGACCUUAGAAGUCAUCUAUCUAGUUCAAUCUUCUUAUUUUUACACCCAGAAUUUAAGUUCUUGCCCAGAGAGUUGCUCAGGCCAAAUUAGCCUGCUUACUGUUCCUCAAACCUGCUAUUCCAUUCUCAAACAUGCUAUGUCCACUCCUGGAAAGCACCCCAUCAGCACUUUAUAUCAAAGAACCCCUAUUUCAUUUAAAUCUCAGCUCAAAUACUAUUUCUAUAUAAGAAGCAUUAUUAUUUCUGUCCUUUCCCACCCCAAGUGAUGAUGCCUUCUCCCAAAAGUUACUUUGUAUUUUUUUGUAUAUAUUAUGUAUGUAUGUUACACAUGCUGAUUCCCCUAAAAGAAUGUAAGUUCCUUGAAGGCAGGGAGUGUUUCACUUUUGACUUGUAUAUCCAGCUCCAGUACAGUGUCUAAGAUAUAGUAGGUGCUUUUUUUCAUAAUUAUAACUUUUUAUUGACAGAACCCAUGCCUGCAUAAUUUUUUACAACAUUAUCCCUUGCACUCACUUCUGUUCCGACUUUUCCCCUCCCUCCCUCCAACCCCUCCCCCAGACAGGCAGUCCUAUACAUAUUAAAUAUGUCACAAUGAUAUAGUGGAUGCUUUAAGCCAUUCUCCAAUUGAUAAAUUGUCAAAGGAUAUGAACAGACAAUUUUCAGAUGAAGAAACUAAAACUAUUUGUAACCACAUGAAACAGCGCUCCAAAUCACUAUUGAUCAGAGAAAUGCAAAUUAAGACAACUCUAAGAUACCACUACACACCUGUCAGAUUGGCUAAGAUUCUAGAAAAUGAACAAUUUUGGAGGGGAUGUGGGAAAACUGGGACUCUGAUACAUUGUUGUUGGAAUUGUGAACAGAUUCAACCAUUCUGGAGAGCAGUUUGGAACUAGGCUCAAAAAGUUAUCAAACUGUGUUUCCACUGGGUUAUAUUCCAAAGAGAUCUUAAAGGAGGGAAAGGGACCCACAUGUGCAAAAAUGUUUGUGGCUACCCUUUUGUAGUGACAAGAAACUGGAAACUGAAUGGAUGCCCAUCAAUUGGAGAAUGGCUGAAUAAAAUAUGGUAAAUGAAUUUAUGGAAUAUUAUUGUUCUGAAGAAACGACCAGCAGGAUGAUUUCAGAAAGGCUUGGAGAGACUUACAUGAACUGAUGCUGAGUGAAAUGAGCAGAACCAGGAGAUUAUACAUGGCAACAACAAGACUAUACAACAAUCAAUUCAACGUGGCUCUGUUCAACAAUGAGAUGAUUCAAACCAGUUCCACUUGUUCAGUGAUGGAGAGAGCCAAAUACACCCAAGAGAGGAACGUGGGAACUUUGUGAACAUAGCAUUCUCACCCUCUCUAUUAUAAUUUGCUUGCAUUUUGUUUUCUUUCUCAGUUUUUUUUCUUCCUUCUUGAUCUGAUUUUUGUUGUACAGCAAGAUAACUGUAUAAAUAUGUAUACAUAUAUUGGAUUUAACAUAUAUUUCAACAUAUUUAACAUCUAUUGGACUACCUGCCAGCUAGGGGAGGGGGUGGGGGGAAGGAGGGGAAAAUUUGGAACAAAAGGUUUUGUAAGGGUCAAUGCUGAAAAAUUACCCAUGCAUAUAUAAAUGAAAAGCUGUAAUAAAAAAUAAAAAAUAUAGUGGGUACUUUAUUAUAUUUAAUAAA